GCAAGUCGAGCGGCAGCGACACAUUGAACCUUCGGGGGAUUUGUUGGGCCGUUAAGCGGCGGACGGGUGAGUAAUGCCUGGGAAAUUGCCCUUAUGUGGGGGAUAACCAUUGGAAACGAUGGCUAAUACCGCAUGAUAGCUUCGGCUCAAAGAGGGGGACCUUCGGGCCUCUCGCGUCAGGAUAUGCCCAGGUGGGAUUAGCUGGGUGGGGAGGUAAGGGCUCACCAAGGCGACGAUCCCUAGCUGGUCUGAGAGGAUGAUCAGCCACACUGGAACUGAGACACGGUCCAGACUCCUACGGGAGGCAGCAGUGGGGAAUAUUGCACAAUGGGCGCAAGCCUGAUGCAGCCAUGCCGCGUGUAUGAAGAAGGCCUUCGGGUUGUAAAGUACUUUCAGCAGUGAGGAAGGAGGUAUCGUUAAUAGGGGGAUCUUUUGACGUUAGCUGCAGAAGAAGCACCGGCUAACUCCGUGCCAGCAGCCGCGGUAAUACGGAGGGUGCGAGCGUUAAUCGGAAUUACUGGGCGUAAAGCGCAUGCAGGUGGUUUGUUAAGUCAGAUGUGAAAGCCCGGGGCUCAACCUCGGAAUUGCAUUUGAAACUGGCAGGCUAGAGUACUGUAGAGGGGGGUAGAAUUUCAGGUGUAGCGGUGAAAUGCGUAGAGAUCUG
rnacentral:rRNA from 1 species